CUGUACGUCUCUCUCUCUCUCUCUCUUAAAAUGUGUCAUGUCAUUUUUCACUUUUCAUAUCUAUAUAUAUGUACUUACCCAGAAUCGAAUUCAAAGCGUGCAACAAUGACCAUGAGUCACACUCUCUCCUAUAUGCAGAGGAAAAGAAAAAAGAUUUUUGUUUAUGGGAUUAGUGAGCUUUAUGUGCAUGAUUGGAAGGAAGGAAAGCAAGGUGAUUUCAUUUCUUUGCAUUUGCACCUGCACCUCUCUCUGUAUAGUCUAAUUUACAAUAGUGUUUUCUCGAGUCUUAAUGGUUCGUUUGGAUCGAGUGAGCAAAGUAAAUUUUGCUUAAAAUUAGUAUAUUUUUAGCAAACUCUACUCACUUUCUUCCAUUUUUCUUAUUUCUCGCUUAAUCCAAACGGGUCUUAAGAGGGUAGAGCACUACCCUAGAUGGACUUCAGAGGUAGGUGCAGUUGUAAGUGCAGACAAAUGGGUCAUCUUUCCACUUUUAACGGUGUUUUUCCUAUGUCUCAAGCUCUGUGAUCAGUGAUCAUUACCCUAGAUCAGCUUAGAGAUAGGUUUGUUUUCUAAUCAAGUGCGGAUGAAAGACAUCUCAACUUUUAGCUGAAAUCCAAGUCGACACCGACUUUUCUUUAAUGGAACUAUCAGCUUUCUUCUCCAAAAAGACAAUAUGAAGCGUCACGAUCAGGCACAUAAAAAAUUGGAUGUGUUUUCCUAGCAAGCUCACCAAAAAAUGCCACGGAUUGGGCCUAUAUAUUAUUAAACUAUUAAUUUCAUGCCAUCAAAUUAUAAAGAGAUACAUUAUUUCUGCACCUCUUCACUCAUAAUAAAAAUCCUAAACGAUAAUUUGUAUUCCCUAUUAUUAAAAUCAUUAAAAUUAUAUGGGUUUUAUUUUGAUUCUUAAGAGGAUUUCAAAGUGACUCUUUCUUAAUCAAGAAUUCAAAAAAGAAAAAAAUUAUGUCUU